rnacentral:rRNA from 1 species
GACGAACGCUGGCGGCGUGCUUAAUACAUGCAAGUCGAGCGAGGCCUUGGAAUUGGAGUCCUUCGGGAUGAAGAGUCCUUGGCCUAGCGGCGGACGGGUGAGUAACGCGUGGGCAACCUACCCCAAAGUCCGGGAUAACAGUGGGAAACCGCUGCUAAUACCGGAUGACUUUACCUGAGGGCAUCCUUGGGUAAAGAAGGUUACGCUUUGGGAUGGGCCCGCGUCCCAUUAGCUAGUUGGUGAGGUAACGGCUCACCAAGGCGACGAUGGGUAGCCGGCCUGAGAGGGUGAACGGCCACACUGGGACUGAGACACGGCCCAGACUCCUACGGGAGGCAGCAGUAGGGAAUAUUGCGCAAUGGGCGGAAGCCUGACGCAGCGACGCCGCGUGAGCGAAGAAAGGCCUUCGGGUCGUAAAGCUCUGUCCUUGGGAAGAAGGCGAAAGCUUGACGGUACCCAAGAAGAAAGCCCGGCUAACUACGUG